AUGGCAGAGCAUGGCAGGAAUGGGAAGGCAAGUGAUUCAACCCCGGGGGAGCUGAAGAUGGCUCAGCAGCAGGUCUUGAGGUUCUAAGGCCCAGCUCCCCCACCAAAUGCUGUGAUGUGAGGCCCGCCACCUCUCAUGAGACCACCGCCUCCUUUCAGCACGAAUGAGAGGCCCUCCUCCAACACCCAGGCUUCCUUGGGCCCGACACCAGGCCCCUCCUUUUGAUCCUAAUAUGCCACCAAUACCUCCCCCAGGAGAAAUACCUCCACCCUUGGGCCCACCACACCUGGAGACACCACCUUUCAUGCCUCCACCCAUGGGAGUAUACCUCCUCCUCCAGGUAUGAUGUUCCCACCAGGAAUGCCUCUGGGGACUGCUCCUAAUGCUCCAGUACUGCCUUCCACUGAGAAGUUAUGGGUAGAAAAUAAAACUCCAGAUGGGAAAGUUUAUUAUUAUAAUGCUCAGACUCGUGAAUCUGCAUCAACCAAGCCAGAUGGAGUUAAGGUUAUUCAGUAAUCAGAACUAAUGCCUAUGCUUGCAGCCCAAACACUGGUUCAGGCCCAGGCUCAGGCACAAGCCCAGGCUUAGGCUCAGGCCCAGACCCAGGCCCAGGCCCAGGCCCAAGUCCAAGCAUAAGCAGUAGGCGCUCCCACCCCUACCACCAGUAGCCCAGCACCUGCAGUGUCCAUGUCAACACCAACUUCUACCCCAUCCUCCACCACAGCUACCACAACUGCUACUUCAGUUGCACAGACAGUAUCAACACCCACAACACAAGACCAGACCCCAAGUUCUGCUGUGUCAGUUGCCACACCUACAGUUAGUGUUUCAGCUCCUGUUCCUACAGCCAGCCACACCUGUGCAAACUGUACCCCUGACGCACCCACAGAUGUUACCUCCCGCUGUUCCUCACUCAGUACCUCAGCUGGCAGCAGCAAUACCUGUUUUCCCACUAGUAAUGGUGCCUCCAGUCUGUGUGCCUCUUCCUGGCAUGCACCAUCCCACUUCCAGGUGUAUUACCAAGAAUGGCUCCUCCCAUAUUACCCAUGAUACAUCCCCAGGUUGCUAUUGCAGUUUCACCUACUACCUUAGCUGGGGCAACAGCAGUUUCUGAGUAGACUGAAUAUAACACAGCAGAUGGGAAGACGUACUAUUAUAGUAGAACACUAGAAUCAACAUGGGAGAAGCCCCAAGAACUGAAGGAAAAAGAAAAAUUAGAUGAGAAGAUUAAAGAGGCAUCUGAAGAGCCAUUGCCAAUGGAGACAGAGAAGGAAGCUCCUAAGGAAAAAUCUAUAAAAAAGAUAAAGGAGGAAGGAGCCCAAAGAAGAAGAGAUGACUAAAGAAGAAGAAAAGGCUGCCCAGAAGGCAAAGCCAGUAGCUACUACUAUACCUGGUACUCCAUGGUGUGUUGUUUGGACUGGUGAUGAGAGGGUCUUCUUUUACAAUCCUACCACUCAGCCUUUCUAUGUGGGACCAGCCUGAUGAUUUGAUUGGAAGGGCAGAUGUUGACAAAAUUAUUCAAGAGCCCCCUCAUAAAAAAGGAUUGGAAGACAUGAAGAAGCUAAGGCACCUGGCUCUGACAAUGCUGUCCAUCCAAAAGUGGCAGUUCUCGAUGAGUACAAUUAAAGAAGAAAAAGAAUUAAUGGAAAAAAAAAAUGAAUGAAGAUGAGCCUAUUAAAGCAAAAAAGCAGAAGAGAGAUGAUAAUAAAGACACUGAUUCAGAGAAAGAAGCUGCCAUGGAAGCUAAAAUUAAAGCUGCCCAAGGCCACUGUCCCUCUGGAGGCUCAACUGUAGCAGUUCAAGAACAUGCUGCUAGAGAGAGGGGUGUUUGUCUUUUCAACAUGGGAGAAGUAUUUGACACUCAGUACUUGCUUCUCAAUUCUAAAGAAAGAAAAAAGGUGUUUAAUCAGUAGAGACUGGAGCAGAGGAAGAAUGCAGGGAAAAGAAAAACAAAAAUAAUGCAAGACAAGGAAGAUUUCAAAAAAAAAAUGAUGGAAGAAGCAAAGUUUAAUCCAAGAGCUACUUUUAGUGAAUUUGCUGCCAAACAUGCUAAAGAUUCAAGAUUCAAAGCAAUCGAAAAGAUGAAAGAUAGAGAAGCAUUGUUUAAUGAAUUUGUGGCAGCUGCAAGGAAGAAAGAAAAAGUUCAAAGACGAGAGGUGAGAAGAUUAAAUCAGAUUUCUUUGAACUGUUAUCUAAUCAUCACUUGGAUAGUCAGUCUCUAUGGAGCAAAGUAAAAGACAAAGUAGAAAGUGACCCACGAUAUAAAGCUGUGGAUAGUUCAUCAAUGAGAGAAGACCUUUUCAAAAAGUACAUAGAGUAGCUAAGAAUUUAGACCCAGAAAAAGAAAAAGAGAUGGAAAGGCAUGCCCGCAUUGAGGCAAGCCUUCAAGAAGGUGAAAGAGAAGUUCAAAAGGCAUGUUCUGAGCAAACUAAAGAAACUGAUGGAGAGAGAGCAAAGCACAAACAAGAAGAAGCUAUCCAGAAUAUCAAAGCUCUUCUAUCUGACUGGUACAUUCUUCCGAUGUGUCCUGGUCUGAUACUAAGAGGACCCUCCGGAAAGACCACUGCUGGGAAUCUGGGUCCUUAUUGGAAAGAGAGGAGAAAGAGAAACUCUUUAAUGAACAUAUUGAAGCACUUACCAAAAAGAAAAGGGAACACUUUAGGCAGCUUCUAGAUGAAACUUCUCCAAUUACCUUAACAUCCACAUGGAAAGAAGUGAAAAGAAUAAUUAAGGAAUAUCCGCAGUGCAUUAAGUUCUCCUCCAGUGACAGGAAAAAAACAAAAGGAGUUUGAAGAAUACAUCGGAGACAAAUACAUCACUGCCAAAGCUGACUUCAGGACACUUUUGAAAGAGACCAAAUUUAUUUAUCACAUACAGAUCCAAAAAGCUAAUCCAAGAAUCUGAUCAGCACCUGAAAAAUGUAGAAAAAUAUUGCAGAAUGACAUAAGGUAUCUAGUACUGGAGUGUGUACCAGAGGAGAGGAGGAAACUAAUCGUGGCAUAUGUUGAUGACCUGGAUCGCCGAGGUCUAUCUCCACCUCCUACAGCAUUAGAGCCCGCUAGACAAUCAACAAAAUAA